GGAUCCAGACUUUGAUUAUGGCUCAGGAUGAACGCUAGCUACAGGCUUAACACAUGCAAGUCGAGGGGAAACGACAUCGAAAGCUUGCUUUUGAUGGGCGUCGACCGGCGCACGGGUGAGUAACGCGUAUCCAACCUGCCCACCACUUGGGGAUAACCUUGCGAAAGUAAGACUAAUACCCAAUGAUAUCUCUAGAAGACAUCUGAAAGGGAUUAAAGAUUUAUCGGUGAUGGAUGGGGAUGCGUCUGAUUAGCUUGUUGGCGGGGUAACGGCCCACCAAGGCAACGAUCAGUAGGGGUUCUGAGAGGAAGGUCCCCCACAUUGGAACUGAGACACGGUCCAAACUCCUACGGGAGGCAGCAGUGAGGAAUAUUGGUCAAUGGGCGAGAGCCUGAACCAGCCAAGUAGCGUGCAGGAUGACGGCCCUAUGGGUUGUAAACUGCUUUUAUAAGGGAAUAAAGUGAGUCUCGUGAGACUUUUUGCAUGUACCUUGUGAAUAAGGACCGGCUAAUUCCGUGCCAGCAGCCGCGGUAAUACGGAAGGUCCGGGCGUUAUCCGGAUUUAUUGGGUUUAAAGGGAGCGUAGGCCGGAGAUUAAGCGUGUUGUGAAAUGUAGACGCUCAACGUCUGCACUGCAGCGCGAACUGGUUUCCUUGAGUACGCACAAAGUGGGCGGAAUUCGUGGUGUAGCGGUGAAAUGCUUAGAUAUCACGAAGAACUCCGAUUGCGAAGGCAGCCCACUGGAGCGCAACUGACGCUGAAGCUCGAAAGUGCGGGUAUCGAACAGGAUUAGAUACCCUGGUAGUCCGCACGGUAAACGAUGGAUGCCCGCUGUUGGUCUGAAUAGGUCAGCGGCCAAGCGAAAGCAUUAAGCAUCCCACCUGGGGAGUACGCCGGCAAGGGUGCAACUCAAAUGAAUUGACGG
rnacentral:rRNA from 1 species